rnacentral:rRNA from 1 species
AUACGGAGGGUCCAAGCGUUAUCCGGAAUCAUUGGGUUUAAAGGGUUCGUAGGCGGGUCAAUAAGUCAGAGGUGAAAUCUUGCAGCUUAACUGUAAAAUUGCCUUUGAAACUGUUGACCUUGAAUUACUGUGAAGUGGUUAGAAUAUGUAGUGUAGCGGUGAAAUGCUUAGAGAUUACAUAGAAUACCGAUUGCGAAGGCAGAUCACUAAAAGUAUAUUGACGCUGAUGAACGAAAGCGUGGGUAGCGAACGGGAUUAGAAACCCUAGUAGUCC